rnacentral:misc_RNA from 1 species
CUCAGAGCCCCAACCUGAGGUUAGGGCUUCUGCUGUCUUUGCAUUGGGAACCUUGCUUGAUGUUGGAGGUGAUGCAUGCCGAGAUGGUGUUGCAGGUGAUGAUGAAUGCUAUGAUGACGAAAAAUUUAGAGCUGAGAUCAGCAUUGUUCGAAACCUACUCAGUGUUGUUUCAGAUGGAAGCCCACUUGUCAGGGCAGAGGUUGCUGUAGCUUUAGCACGCUUUGCAUUUGGCCAUAAGCAGCACCUCAAGUCAAUUGCUGCUGCAUAUUGGAAACCCCAGUCAAAUUCUGUACUGAAUUCAUUACCUUCGUUGGCCCAUAUAAAAGUUACAGGUAGUGGAUGUACUAAUGCAAACCAGUAUAUGUCGCAUGCAAGUAUUCUUUCAUCUCAAAUUGGUCCUUUAACGAGAGUUGGAAAUGACAAUCAAUCGGUGGUUCGAGAUAGGAGGGUCUCUACUAGUAGUCCUCUUACCACAUCUGGAAUUAUGCAAGGAUCGCCUUUAUCUGAUGAUUCGUCUCAACAUUCUGAUCCGGGAAUGUUGAAUGAUGUUGUCAGCAAUGGGGUUGUCCACCAUUCGAGACCAAAACCAUUGGAUAAUGCAAUGUAUUCACAGUGUGUACUGGCCAUCUGUACACUGGCUAAGGAUCCCUCUCCACGCAUUGCAAGUCUUGGUCGGCGGGUACUGUCCAUUAUUGGAAUUGAACAAGUGGUGACAAAAACUGUCAACAUCAUUCAAC